AUCAUCAAAUCUUUGAACGCACCUUGCACCUUUUGGUAUUCCAAAAGGUACACCUGUUUGAGUGUCAU
rnacentral:rRNA from 1 species